AUUGAACGCUGGCGGCAUGCUUUACACAUGCAAGUCGAACGGUAACAGGGUGCUUGCACCGCUGACGAGUGGCGAACGGGUGAGUAAUGCGUCGGAACGUGCCGAGUAGUGGGGGAUAACGCAGCGAAAGUUGUGCUAAUACCGCAUACGUACUGAGGUAGAAAGUGGGGGACCUUCGGGCCUCACGCUAUUCGAGCGGCCGACGUCUGAUUAGCUAGUAGGUGAGGUAAGAGCUCACCUAGGCGACGAUCAGUAGCGGGUCUGAGAGGAUGAUCCGCCACACUGGGACUGAGACACGGCCCAGACUCCUACGGGAGGCAGCAGUGGGGAAUUUUGGACAAUGGGCGCAAGCCUGAUCCAGCCAUGCCGCGUGUCUGAAGAAGGCCUUCGGGUUGUAAAGGACUUUUGUCAGGGAGGAAACCCUAGUGGCUAAUAACUGCUGGGGAUGACAGUACCUGAAGAAUAAGCACCGGCUAACUACGUGCCAGCAGCCGCGGUAACAC
rnacentral:rRNA from 1 species